GAAAGACUCCUGUGUUGCCUGAGG
rnacentral:piRNA from 1 species